CCGGCGCGUGGGGCGGCCUCGGCGCCGUCCGCUGCUCCGCCCGCCCGCCUGCGCCUGGCCGCCGCCGUGCCGAGUCUCCGCCGCGCCGCUGAGCCGCGCUCCGACGACCGCGCGGGCGGGGACACGGCGGCGCGCGCGGGCGGGGCCUCGCGGUUGGUCUCCUGGUUCCCAGCGCGGGCGGCGCACGGACUCACGCGGGCGGCUCAGGGCCCGCCCGGCCGGGACGCGGCUGCGGGGCGGGGCGGGGCGGGAGCCUGGCGGGAAGCUCGCGGGGCUGCAGCCCGGCGGAGGCCCCGGGCCUGGUGUUCCGCACGUUCUAAACCGCCUGUCCCCGAGGAAGUCGGGCAGGGUCGGGCCGGACUCAGCGCCGCUGGCGGGAGCGCCGUCCGCCCCGAGGACCCUGCGGGCCCGGAAGCCGAGACAGGGCCGCCCACGUCAGCGCCUGGCGCGGGCCCGAACGUAAAUGGCGCUCCUCCGCGCCGCAGCCGCAGCCGCCCCGCUCCCUUCCCGCUCCGCCAGCUGCCGCCCUCCCGCGCUCGCUUCUCGCCCCGCGGCCUGGCCCGUGCGCCUCCGAGGCUGGCCAGGGGCACCGAGGCCGCGGGCCCCCCAUCGCCCCCACCCGAGCCCUGAUUUACCGUCCGAGAGCCGGCGGCACAUGGGACCCCGAGAGGAGAAGCGCGCCUGCCCCAAAACCACGGCAUGGAGACGGAAUGAUGCAGACUCCUAUCCGCGAGAUACCUGCUGUAAUUUCGCUGUGGUUCGUGAGGACGCGUCCUGGGCUGCCCUGAGAAGCCUACGUCUCCCCUUCGAGGCCCGGGAAGACCUCCAACCCCGCUGACAAUGCUGGGCCCUCAGCCAGACCUGCCCUGCGUGCCACGUUCUGUUCUAAGAUCGGGCUGCCGAGCUGUGGCCUGGAGGAAACCUGGCAGGUGGGGCUGCCAUGAGCAGCAAGCUCAGUCCAGAAGAACAGUUCCUCUCCAGGAUCCACUUCCUGCGCACUUUUAUGUGCAGUGUAGCUGGAGCAGAGCUCCCCGGAAUUCCACAGGCAACUGAGAACGGAGAGGGAUGCAGGCCAGCCAGGGAUCCAGCGUCUUCCCCAUCGUCACUCUCCAUGGCCUCCGUCUACACACAGUGUUCGUCUGCACAGCUUGUCAGCGCGUUAUCAUGACUUCUAUUUGGCACCGGCCCGUCUGUCCACUGUCCUGGCUUGUUCCAAGCGCUGCCUUCUCCAACUGGGGUCCUGGCUGCAGAGCUGUCUGCUCCCCACGUUGGGCAACUCCAGCCAAGAUUCCUACACCCAAAUGUGACCGUGUUGCUCACGAAGAAGGCUCAGCUUUGCGUGUGCCCAGCCGUGUGCACAGCUCGUCCCAACUCCUGCGGGUGGCACCUGCCUCUCCCACCUCCAGUCUUUCCCCUGUGAUGAGCAGAUGACCACCGCCCUCCAGGGUCAGCGUUUGGCUGUUUGUGUGCCUGCCCACCCGCCUCCCUGUGCCUGGGCCUGCCCUGUGCCUGCACACAGGAGUGGCUCAUGGCGUUUGCCCUACACGGAUGGGCUGUCCUGGGAGCUACUGGACAGUCACCUUGGUGGGAAUGCCAGAGGCAUGGGCAUUAGGUCCCCCCGGCCAGCCUCCGUUGCCACAUGGGCUAUUUUUGUCCAUCGCGUGGGACAACCUAGUAUUGGGGGAAAACUCAGUCCACUCUAAAGAAGCAUCGGCGUUUUGGAUGGACGAAUGCUGCUUCAUGCGACUCCAUGUCAAUGGACUAUUUUAUUCAACUCGGGUAUUUAUGAGUGUCUCCUCUGUGCCAGCCACGUGUGAAAGAAGAACUCCAAGUUACUGGACACCAGGACAAACCAGGUAGAUCACUGCAUCCGGUUCCUCCUCUUUCUGCCGACUCUCCCGGGCAACCGUUCUGAUUCCUGGCAUGGAGUUGGGGGCGAGCUCAUCAGUACCCAGAGCGCCUGGUGUGCAGCCAAAGGCCCCCAUUUUAUUAGUCGGUGUGUUCAGUAUCACGCUCAAGACAAGGGCCAACCUAUUACUUCACACACCUCAAAUACAAAAAGUGCCUGGGAACGUCGAUGAGGUAUUAAAGGAAACCACUGGUCUUGUCAGUCAUGUACACACAGAAAAAAAAACCAGUCAUUUUUAUUUUUAUUUUUUGAGACAGAGUUUCGCUCUUGUUGCCCAGGCUGGAGUGCAAUGGUGCAAUUUCAGCUCACUGCAAUCUCUGCCACCCGGAUUCAAGCAAUUCUCCUGUCUCAGCCUCCCGAGUAGCUGGAAUUGCAGACACCCAUCACCACGCCCAGCUAAUUUUAUGUAUUUUUAGUAGAGAUGGGGUUUCACCAUGUUGGUCAGGCUGGUCUUGAACUCCUGACCUCAGGUGAUCCACCCACGUCAGGCUCCCAAAGUGCUGAGAUUACAGGCAUGAACCACUGUGCCCAGCCGAAAACAACCAAGAAUUUUUUAACAAUAAAAUGACCAGCAAGUAAACUUGAAACAAAAAUGGACAAAUAUCUAAAAUAUUUUUAAAUGUAUGUAUUUUAAUUGGCAAAUAAUACUUGUAUAUAUUGUUUACAACUUGUUUUAAAGUAUGAAUACAUUGUGGAAUGGCUAAAUCAAGUUAA
ensembl:lncRNA CTBP1-DT CTBP1 divergent transcript